UAAAGUACCUAGGAAUUACAGUGUAACUGCACAAAAAAUACAGUGGAAAUCGCCUAGAAUAUACAGUGUAAAUUAGACUGUAAAAAUGAACAUUUACAUUGUAAGAAUGUUGUUGAUCAGGAUUUACAGCGAAAUAACCCAGGAAUUACACUGUAAAGUGCCCCUAUAUAUACAUUGUAACUUCCUGGACAAUGUAGAAACACAUGGACUUACACUGGAAAAAAAACCAUAGAAUAACCAAAUGCAGCGGAACUUACAAGUACAAUGAUCAGUGAAAGUACAGAUCAAGUACAAUGAAAAUGCCCUGGAUUUACAGUGUAAGAACGGUGCAUAAAACUACUAAAAUACAUAGCAAGUACACUGAAAAAGCAUAUGAACUUACAGUGUAAAUACAGACUAAAAAUGCAGAGUAACUACAGCGAUGCUACCAUAAUAAAUACAGUGUAAAUCACCAAAAAAUCUAUGCUGGAAAUACCAAGGGAACUAAAAUACCCAGGAACUUUAAAAAUACACCGGAAAGACCACUGUCCUCCUAAUUCUCGACUUUUUAUACAGAUCCAGUAAAUUCACAGAUAAUUCUUUACAAAAAAAUGUAGAUGGGGAGCAUGAGAAGAACAAUAACAAAAGACAAUCUACUGUCACUAUCACAAGAAGAUCUCAUUCAAAAUGUGAGUAUCACUAAAUGGCAAAAACUCAGAAGAAAAUGUUGCGUACAUCAAAAUCAAAAUAGCUCACACAAAAAAUACAUUGUAGGAAUCGUUUUCUUUUACAGCACUCCUACAAUAAGACAUUAUGUACAAGGUCAGAAAAGCAACUUUGAAAUACAGUAGUGGUACCAAACCUCUUGACAAAAAGAGUGUUUUCUUAGUAUGCUAUUCCAACAAGAACUCCAGUUAACUUAACAUGGUGAUUGCAGGUACAUUCGGCAAAUGGGGCUACAUCAACAACACAAUUAAGAGUGGAGGACUCCAGUAACAAAACACAUAACACCAACAGCCCAACAAUUCAUUCUAGAGUAAGUGAAACUAUUGGUGAAAAACUCAUGACCUGACAAAAAAUUGAGAAACUUACAUCUUGAGAACUCUGCUGCAGACAUUGGAAGAAAUGCAAAACGAAGCUACACCAAGCGAAGAAGGCGCAACAGAACCGAACCCCUGGAAAACAGACAUGUUUGCCCACAUGAAUUUGGAACAGGUGGGCACAUUAAUAAAAUUUCAGAAACAAGUACAUAUCAUACAAGUUGAAACUAGUAAGAAGAAUAAAUCGGAAACAAAAUGCUAAGUAUCCAGGAGACUGAAGAUGUUCACCCCAGUUCAGCAGCAACAAAAACAAACUCAAACACUUGCCACAGCAAUGAAGAAAGAGAAAGGGGAGAAUCAGAGCACUCACACAAAUGCAAAUUCCGAAGAUGAUACUAAUGUAACGUCCUGGCGAGAGACUUUCCGAAGCUUACCCAUUAAACUAAAACCUAUAAAUUGCAGAGCUGAAGCAUGAAUAUUACACUAAAAAUUAGGGCGGAAACUACACUAUAAAUACAGAAAUAAAAGCAAGGGGGCUUAGACUGUAAAUCUGGGAUAACACUGCAUUAUUGGGAACAUUACACUGUAAAUACAUAGAAUAAGCAAGGCGUUUAUAAUGUAAAACUAGGGUUACACUGGAAUUCUUGGGAAGAUUACACUGUAAACAGGACAUAGUUCAUAACUGCACCACAACGACACUCGAACAAUCAACAAGAAUGAAAGCCAAAAUUUCAGGAAUUACAUAACCGAAUCAUACAAAAUUACACUGUAAAAAAUGGGACACAUUAUAACUCUGGGAUAACAUGUAAGCAGCAUGUGAAUUACACAGUAACUCUGGGGGUAAUUACACUGAAACUCUGGGACAAAUUACACAACAACUCUAAGGUAUAUUACACUGGAACUCUGGGGUAAUUACACAGUAACUCUGGGGUAAUCACAGUGUGUAAAACUCUAGGGUCAAGUACAUAUAAUAAGCAUGAGAAUUACACGAUAACUCUGGGGGGAAUUACACUGCAACUCAGGGAAAUUACACAGUAACUCUGGCCUAUAUUACACUGAAACUCUGGACAUAAUUACGCAGUAACUCUAGGAUAAUUACACUACAGAAACAUAAGUAAAAUACAGACUCAAUACAAAUAGAGUUACACUGCAAAUCCUGGUUGGUUCAAUCAACCAGGAGCAUUAGAAAAAAUGAAAGAAUAGAGGAAUUGAAGUGCAAAGCACAUAAAAAUACAGAGAAAAGCGCACAAUUCAAUAGAUAAUCUAGAUAACCUACAUGAACUUCAGAAAACAAAUACUAGCAAAAGAACACAUAAAUUAUUGUGCUUACACUCUAAUACAUGAGCACUGAAAAAAUACAUUGAUAAGAACCAACACUCACAAACUAGGGGUAAGUACAGGGCUAGAACACAGGGGAAAAUAGAAAAUAUAACCUGGAAAAUACACCAAAAACAGAGCUAACUGGAGGCUGGGGUAAGUCUGAUACACCCAGAGGCCAUUGAUAACACUCAGAAGUCAUGGAACCUGUGCACUGCAUGCAGUAGAGGCCACUGAUAACAACUAACUACAACUAAACCUACCAAAAUUCAUGUAUCUACAACAAAAAACCAACAGGAUCCACGAACAUAAAGACCACCUGCCAGCGCAAGUCACCAAACUCUAACCACAAAAACACUCAUCUGAAACCCUGCAUCUAAUCCAUACAUCUACAUCUAACCAAAAAAAAAAAAAACGAGACAACUACCAGCGCCUACACAAGAGUAGAUGGGGAACAAUGGAGGAUUACGCAUGCCAGGAAGCAGAGCCAACCGCUAAAACUACAAGCACCUACCACGAAUCUACAACAACACGGCGGCUACAAACACCAAUCACGAACCCACAAAGAAAUCACGGCAGCAAUUCACCUAAAUCUGGAAAGCCACACACCCAGAAACAAUCAAAAAUCAUGCGCAGGACGGAGAAUGACGAGGCCGACCAACCGAAGACGUCAUGAAUCGAAGAGAAAGGGGAGAGAAAUCAAGCUCGACAAGUGGGGGGAGGGGGGGUCUCGGAAUCGACAUGAACAACACGAAUCGCCUGGUCUCCUCCUCCUCCGCUCGAGCGCCCCUUCCUCUCUCUCUCUCUCUCUCUCUCUGCUUUAUCGAAACAGUGACGCUCGAAUGAAAAGGGAAAACCGCGCCGAAAAUUCAGAAAGGACAAAACCAAACAGGGGUCGGGCGGGCGUUACGGUGCAAAUCCGUAAAUCAAUACCGUUCUAGGUUAUGUAUGCACACGUCACACUAAUUACCAAAAAAGGCAUCGGAAGGGACUGGUACCUACCUCGCUUUUGGCACAUUUAAUUACGCCUCAUCAAAAAAGGAACUGGAAGUGUCAAC
rnacentral:lncRNA from 1 species